UGACUGGUACUUGGCAGGGGAGAAACAAUGAUAAUGAAGCUUGUGCUUCCAGGAUGAGGCAAUCCCAUUGCAUUCCAGGUGUGCUGACGCCUGCGAUGUCCCCGAAUGCGGGAUACCCGACUGCAAAAUUUGUGGUAGUGGAGGACUGCGUUCGUGCUUUCCCUUG